rnacentral:rRNA from 1 species
AUGACGGAUGAGCCCGCGGGAGAGGAGACCGGCGGCGUAGAUUCGGGUGCUCCGGAGGAUUGCGGCGCCGUUGUCGAUGCUGCCGUGCCGGGGGAAGCGCAUCAGGAGCUGAAGGCUGUUGCAGACGGCGUUGUCUCAUCGUGCCGCCUGGAUAGCACGGCUGAGCGGUCACACGAGCUGCGUGAUGUGCAGGUUGCUGAAGCGAGAAAAGGGCUGCAGUUGGAUGCUGGAUGUGUCGUGGCUGCUGUUGAUGCCGUUGAGAAGCAGCCGUUACAGGAGAGUUUGAUUGUCAAUCAAGGUGUAGCAGAUACUGUCGAGAAGAAGAGGCACCCGAUGUCAUCGCUAUUUCAGAAGCCUGCGGAAUUCAGUUCUCCCCCAUCAGGAAAGAAAGCGCCGUCUUCGUCAGCCAAAAGGCGGUCGACCCUGCGUCCAGCGAAGGAGAACAGCUCACCAUUUCCUAGUACUGACAGUAACAAGCAAGAAGAGACUUCAGUUGCUCAGAAAGGGUCGAUAUUGGGUACCAUGAACUUCAGGAGAUGUGAAAUAGGCGAUACUGCCUCGAGAUCAAGAAAUCUUGGUUCCACAAUUGCUUCGAGGAUUAGUCAGCUGGAGUCUGCAAGCAGGCCGGUGAAAGAUGUUCAUCCUAAGGUGAACAAACAGAGGCGGACAAGCAAGGGGUUCUGCAAAGGUAUUCCAGAAGCAGCUUCCACGGCAACUCAACAGCCUGAACAAAGGUCUCCAUAUGUCAGUGUGACGAGGGUCAAAGAAAUGUUGUUUGGUUCAACUUCGCCACCGACGCGUCCGGAAACCAAUAUAGCUAAAGAAAAUAUGGGAAAAGCCAACGAUGAACCUGAAUUGAAAGAAAUACAUCAGAGCGUCCGUUUCAAGGCCAGGUCACUGCCAAAUUUUUACUGGAGAAGUAAAGAAUCAAAGGAUUCAAGGCAGGGGCACGAGAGACCCACCAAAAUCCGCCGAACAGCGAUCAUAGACUGA